rnacentral:lncRNA from 1 species
CCAACACAGAGAUCUUGGUGAAAUUCCAAAACAGGGAUGAGAAGGCCCCAAACGUCCCGUGUUUCCAGAAGGGAAAUCGCUCUGAACAGCUUGAAGACAGCCAGGCCAAGCCCCCACAUUCCGAGGACAAGUUACUUCCAACCUAGAAAUGAAAACCCAGCUGAACUGCGAUUGGGGAUGGAGGGAAGCUGAGUGCUCUCUCUCCCGGGAUCCAGGCUCCCAUUGCCACACGUCUGUAAUCAUGGAAAUGCGUGUGAUUCAGGACUCCCCCGGGGGCUGAGAACCGGGCAGGAUCCCGUCUGUCUCAGAAGCUGAGCUAUUUGGAGAUGGACCCUGUGCUGGCAGGUCUGAAGUUCACGGAUGUUACCUUAAGUAUGGAAGAGAGAAUACUUGUGCCCUCCUGCGUUCCCUUUCUAUUUUCUCCCUGGUGACUCAGUGGAGUGUCAGCAUUACAAUUUCCUCUGUAAAGCUGUCUCAUUACCUGGAGCAACCCUGAAGGAGCAGGGGAGGUGGCGGGUGGAGUGCUUCUUCACAGGCACAGCACCAGGCCAUAUGCACUCAGAAAGAUGGGCACUUGGCAGCGGAGUGGACAAUAGCUUCCAAAGACCAGCUGCAGAUGCACAGGGCACGUUCUCUACACCUACAGUGCGGAGGACUUUCCAGCCAUGUGCGCAUCAGAAUCGCCAACGAUCAUACUGAGGUAAU